rnacentral:lncRNA from 1 species
AGGAAUAAUGCCAUUCAAUGUUUACAAUGACAUGAACCAUUGUAGGUUUUGAGAUAUUGCACUACAUUUCCUGAAAACCCCUCUCGCUCUCCUAGGACUGUUCUACAUUUGGCCUGUGCCCAUGGCCGUGUGCAAGUGGUCACUCUCUUGCUGGACAGAAAAUGCCAGAUCAACAUCUGUGACAGACUAAACAGGACACCUUUAAUGAAGGAGGGAAACACUCCACUUUUGUUUGCUAUAAAUUCCAGGAGACAGCAUAUGGUGGAAUUUUUAUUGAAGAACCAGGCAAAUAUACAUGCCGUUGACAAUUUCAAAAGGUGCAAUAGUUUUUGUUUUCUGUUUUCUUUUUUCCUAAAAACCUGAGUGUUCUAGAGUGGUAACAGUCGCUCAAGUCAGAAAUGUUAAUAAGAUUAAACUUAUAAUUAUUGGCAUAUAGUAAAAAAUAACAUGAAUAAUCAGGUAGAAAAGAAGUUAUUUGGACUAAGCAACAUAAAAAACAGUAUAUAGUAGGAUUCAUCUUCUCUUAUAGACUGUUAUUUGUAAUUUGAUGUUUUUGUCCUGUAAUCUUAUAUUAGCUAAAGGGGUUUUGUAUUUUAUUAAUUUUAUGAAGUGUAGACUU